rnacentral:rRNA from 1 species
GCAAGGUCAUCUGUGCCAUAAGGUACAGAAGCAGACGCUGUGAACUGAAACAUCUAAGUAGCAGCAGGAAGAGAAAACAAAAGUGAUUCCCUAAGUAGUGGCGAGCGAACGGGGAAGAGCCCAAACCGGUACUGUUACGGCAGUAUCGGGGUAAUAGGAGCAGAGCUACGCGAGAUGAAGUGAACUCGAAUGACUUGGAAAAGUCAUCCAAAGAGAGUGAGAGACUCGUAGAGGUAAGCGACAUUGAGCCAUCUGCCACCUGAGUAGCGCGGAACACGAGGAAUUUUGCGUGAAUUAGGCGGGACCAUCCGCUAAGGCUAAAUAGACCCUAUAGACCGAUAGUGAACAAGUACUGUGAAGGAAAGGUGAAAAGCACCGCGAACAGCGGAGUGAAAUAGUUCCUGAAACCAUGCGCUUACAACCUGUUGGAGCGGCAUAAGCCGUAACAGCGUGCCUUUUGCAUAAUGAGCCUACGAGUUAGUCGUGUGCAGCGAGGUUAACGACUUAAGGUCGGGAGCCGAAGUGAAAGCGAGCCUGAAUUAGGGCGAAGAGUUGCAUGCGCUAGACGCGAAACCUUGUGAUCUACCCUUGACCAGGUUGAAGUUCCGGUAACACGGGAUGGAGGACCGAACCAAUAAACGUUGAAAAGUUUCUGGAUGAGUUGAGGGUAGGGGUGAAAGGCCAAUCAAACUGGGAAAUAGCUCGUACUCCCCGAAAUGCAUUUAGGUGCAGCCUUGUAAUAGUUAAGCAGAGGUAGAGCUACUGAUAGGAUGCGAGGGCUUCACCGCCUAUCAAGUCCUGACAAACUCCGAAUGCUGGCUUAAUGUUUUACAGGAGUGAGGGCGCGGGUGCUAACGUCCGUGUCCGAGAGAAGAAGAAUUCAGACCAUCAGCUAAGGUCCCGAAAUAUACGCUAAGUUGAACUAACGAGGUAGGAUUGCAUAGACAGCUAGGAUGUUGGCUUGGAAGCAGCCAUUCAUUCAAAGAGUGCGUAACAGCUCACUAGUCGAGCGAUCCUGCAUGGAUAAUGAUCGGGCAUAAGCGUAAUACCGAAGCUAUGGGAUAUGCAGUAAUGUAUAUCGGUAGGGGAGCAUUCUAACAGCGUCGAAGUCGAAGGUGUGAGCCACGGUGGAGCGGUUAGAAAAGCAAAUGUAGGCAUAAGUAACGAUAAAGAGAGUGAGAAACUCUCUCGCCGAAAGACUCAGGGUUCCUGAUCAACGUUAAUCGGAUCAGGGUAAGUCGGGAGCUAAGGAUAACCCGAACGGGGAAGCCGAUGACAAGAGGUUAAAUAUUCCCUCACCUGCUGCCAAUGAAAGUGACGCUCAGUAAACUCAUGUGGGGACUGACGGAAUAGUCCGCAGAGCUUAGACUACGGUCGAAGCGAACAUGAGGUAAAGAGCCGAGAAAAGCGAGGUAGCAGCCCGUACUGGAAACCGACACAGGUAGUUGGGUUGAGUAUACUAAGGCGCUCGAGUGAUCCACGGCUAAGGAACUCGGCAAAUUGGUCCCGUAACUUAGGGAGAAGGGACGCCCUCUGAGAGGAGGGUCGCAGUGAAAGAGUCCAGGCAACUGUUUACCAAAAACACAGGGCUAUGCUAAAUUGAAAGAUGAAGUAUAUGGCCUGACACCUGCCCGGUGCUGGAAGGUUAAGGAGAGAUCUCAGCCGCGAGGCGAAGGGUUGAACUGAAGCCCCAGUAAACGGCGGCCGUAACUAUAACGGUCCUAAGGUAGCGAAAUUCCUUGUCGGGUAAGUUCCGACCUG